rnacentral:rRNA from 1 species
UACGAAGGGGACUAGCGUUGUUCGGAAUCACUGGGCGUAAAGCGCACGUAGGCGGAUGUGUCAGUCAGGGGUGAAAUCCCGGGGCUCAACCUCGGAACUGCCUUUGAUACAGCACGUCUCGAGUCCGGAAGAGGUGAGUGGAACUGCGAGUGUAGAGGUGAAAUUCGUAGAUAUUCGCAAGAACACCAGUGGCGAAGGCGGCUCACUGGCCCGGUACUGACGCUGAGGUGCGAAAGCGUGGGGAGCAAACAGG